GAGUGCUCCAGGGAGACUUUCUCUCUCUAAGGAGCUGGCACUACUGCCCCUGUUCCUACCUGUUUGUUUUGGACACAUCCAUUGGGAAAACCGGAUACAGGAUCCCAGCCCCCAUCCUAAAACAGUGACAUGGCCAAGGUCUAGGCUGGAGGACUCCUGGGCUGACAAUGCCAAACUUCGUUUUAAGUCUUUCUAACUGAUACAGUCAAAAAUUCCCUGAGAGCUGUGAAUUCUGGAGUUUGAUAAUACAUCAAAGAAUCCAGGCCCCAAAAUAUAAGCAAAUGUUGUGCCUGUUUAAGAUAAAGACAAGGUCUCACUAUGCUGCCCAGGCUGGUCUCAAACUCCUGAACUCAAAUGAUCUUCCCAUCUCGGCCUCCCAAAGUUUUAGGAUUACAGGAGGUGGUGAGCCCCAGCCUUCUAGGAUGGCAGGCCAGGCUUCCAGAACUUUCCAUCUCAGCCACACAAAACCAAGAGACUGAAGCAAAAGGUAACCCCCUGAGGAACUCCAGGGAUUUGUGAAAAACUCAAGAGGGAGUGGUGCCCGGGCCUAAUCCGCAUCCAGAGGCCGUUCUGUUGGUGAGCAGUGGCUCAUUUACUGAAAUACAGACUGCACCCUGCGGCCGCGGCAGCCACGCCCCUCUGCACCCACCAGUCCUGUUCGCUGGCCUAGGCUUCAGGCCGCCAGCACCCACAUCUUUUUGCCAAGGGCUUUCUCUGGCCGCCACAGCCCACUGAGCCCAUGCAGGACAAGUGAAGUACCUGAGAGAUCAUGCCCCUGGCAGCUGCCCUUAACCAACCACUGACAGGAGUGGAUGGAGGAAGACGCCCGUUUCCUUGCCCCUUGGUGGAAAUAGCCUGGAGGCAUGUUUACACUGGCUCCCAGAGUUCCCCAGUGGGAUCGAGCCCCAGUUGCCCAGACCAGUAACUUGCUCAAAAAUGUCCCCUGUGUGUGUCUUCUCAUCUCUGUCUCAUGUCCCCACUCCCUUACUCCCUUACUUCCCGAGACUACCUCCCAAACAAAUCACUUGAA